rnacentral:lncRNA from 1 species
CUCAGCUGUUUCAUAAAUAAAGGCAUAAUGCCUUUUCAAUUAAUUGACAGGAAGGCCAAUAGUAAUCAGCUUGUCUAUCCUUCUGUUGUUUCAAAUCAACAAAUCAGUUUUAAAGUUUGGUAAUUUAUUUAAAACUUUGCUGGACUAAAUUAUUAUAAAUCUUUAACCUUGUUUACAGUUCUGUCUGCAGUAAGUUUCAUUUGAUGUUCACAUUUUACCUGCAAUACUGUAAAUUCAGAAAUUAUUGCGAUUUUGUCAUUUUAGACUUAAAUUCGAUUUUAAUUUUUACGAUUUAGAGAAAAAUCCUGUUUAGUUCAUAUAAAAUAUUUCAAAAUGCGAGUUAAAAUUAUUGCGUUUACAACUCUGUUGCAUUUUUUGCAAUAAUUUCUGAAUUUACAGUACAUAUUUCUUAAACCUGUAUCACUUUAAGAGAAAAUGUGAAAAAAAAAUUAAUUCCAUGACUGAUAUUAAACUUUUGGGUGGAAUCUAUGAAUUAUAUAAACUAUUUUAAAGUGGCAUUGGCACUUGUGCAAAGUUGAAUUUUUUAUUUAAAGAUUAUUAGAUUUUUUGUUGUAUGAAGAUAUCACCAUAGAAUAUAUUUUUUGUUUGUACAUUAACUAUUCUCCAUUCUGAAAAAGAAUGUUUCAAAAUUGUAGGUCUUGUUUAUCUUAGAUGCAUAGAUAAGUUUUAAGUAAAAAGGAUAUGUAAUUCAUAGAUAGUAUGUAUGUAGAACACUCACAUGUUUGGUUGGUUUUUUUUUUCUUCAAAAGUUGUAAUGUGUUUAUGUAAUUUAUGUAGCUUUGACAUUCCAAAUAAUAAUAAGAUAUUCUUCUUUCCAAUUUGUUUUAGAAGAUUCUACUAUAAAUAGCUUCAUAAUUGAAUGUACCUGGCGUUUUUAACACAAUAUUUUAAGUCAUACUUUUCUACAUUUUUAGCUUCUUAAGUUCAUGAUUGUUGAGAUUUACUGUUACAAGUUUGCUUUUUGUUGUGGUAACAGACUAAGUAAAAUCGUGAUUGACUCUUGAAGUUAAGGACAUCAAAAUAAUUUAGUUUGUUAUGAUAAAGAUAAAUGACUUACUGCAUUUUUAGUUUGCAUUAUAAUGGUGAACAGAAAGACCAGCUUAUUUCUCAUAAUGUUAGGAUUGAAAUUUAAGAGGAAUAUUAAACAGCGAAUUUGAUCAGCUUGAACACUGAAGCUAUCCAUAUUAAAAAUCAAAUGUGUUGUAUUAUUUGCAUUUAGAAAUGUAGUUCUUUAUACAUGUACCAACUUUG